GGCAGGCCUAACACAUGCAAGUCGAGCGGCAGCACGGGUACUUGUACCUGGUGGCGAGCGGCGGACGGGUGAGUAAUGCCUAGGAAUCUGCCUGGUAGUGGGGGAUAACGCUCGGAAACGGACGCUAAUACCGCAUACGUCCUACGGGAGAAAGCAGGGGACCUUCGGGCCUUGCGCUAUCAGAUGAGCCUAGGUCGGAUUAGCUAGUUGGUGAGGUAAUGGCUCACCAAGGCGACGAUCCGUAACUGGUCUGAGAGGAUGAUCAGUCACACUGGAACUGAGACACGGUCCAGACUCCUACGGGAGGCAGCAGUGGGGAAUAUUGGACAAUGGGCGAAAGCCUGAUCCAGCCAUGCCGCGUGUGUGAAGAAGGUCUUCGGAUUGUAAAGCACUUUAAGU
rnacentral:rRNA from 1 species